ensembl:ncRNA lncRNA:CR42858 long non-coding RNA:CR42858
AAAAUAUCUAACCUCAAGCGAAGCGAUUGAUGGCUUGAAAAUGCGCAAAUUGGAAGGAAGGGCUCCACUUGGAGGAGCAAUUGAGAGAACAACGAGCUUAACAAGCUGCCAGAGCACCGGGGGCGCUUUUUGUUUCCAACUGUCCUGGCUGGUCCUCCUCCUCCACCACCUGCGCUGCGGAUGAGGAGGAACAAAGCGGCAGGUAGUUGGCACUUCAAUUGAACACAUUAAUGUGUCACUUUCGUCGGAUCUCGGAGCGAGUUUCGGUGCGUCGGCAAUGCCAUAAAUCAACACCCACCCCGUCCAUCGCCAUGGAGAGCUAUCGAUUAGCCGGGCUCCAACCUUCGGAUUGGAGGCGUCAGGCAAAUGGCAUGGGCCAGGAGGGUGACACGAGGAUUGGGGGGCAGGCGGAUUGAGCCAUGAGGCGUGCUGCUGCAAUGAGUGCGACCACCAAAACCUGGACAGGUAGUUCUCCUCGCACCGUGGGCCUCAAAUUUAUGAACUUGACUUUCGGUUAGCUAACAGCCAUCAGCCAACGUUGGGUGGCCCCUCCAUCCGGCCCAGGCCUCUCGUCAUUGGUUCCGGCCAGACACGAACGGGUAUGAAAAGGUUCGCAUGACUGCAGGAAAUUACCAUAAUUUCAAUUUAACAAAUUAAACGAAUUCCGUUCUGAGCUGGAG